CCUACGGGAGGCAGCAGUGGGGAAUCUUGCGCAAUGGGCGAAAGCCUGACGCAGCAACGCCGCGUGCGGGAAGAAGGUCUUCGGGUUGUAAACCGCUUUCAGCAGGAACGAAAAUGACGGUACCUGCAGAAGAAGGAGCGGCCAACUACGUGCCAGCAGCCGCGGUGACACGUAGGCUCCAAGCGUUGUCCGGAUUUAUUGGGCGUAAAGAGCUCGUAGGCGGUUCAGUAAGUCGGGUGUGAAAACUCUGGGCUCAACCCAGAGCCUGCAUUCGAAACUGCUGUGACUAGAGUUUGGUAGGGGAGCGGGGAAUUCCUAGUGUAGCGGUGAAAUGCGCAGAUAUUAGGAGGAACACCGGUGGCGAAAGCGCCGCUCUGGGCCAAUACUGACGCUGAGGAGCGAAAGCGUGGGUAGCAAACAGGAUUAGAUACCCUGGUAGUCCACGCCGUAAACGAUGGGCACUAGGUGUGGGUUUCAACUAACGAAAUCCGUGCCGUCGCUAACGCAUUAAGUGCCCCGCCUGGGGAGUACGGUCGCAAGCUAAACCUUAAAUGAAUUGACGG
rnacentral:rRNA from 1 species